rnacentral:rRNA from 1 species
CCUAGUAACGGCGAGUGAAGCGGGAUGAGCUCAAGCUUAAAAUCUCUGUACCAGUUUGGUGCGGCGAAUUGUAGUCUAUGGAGGCGAUGUCAGUGCGACUGCGCGGGUUAAGUUCCUUGGAAGAGGACAGCAUCGAGGGUGAUACUCCCGUAUGUACCUGUGUAGUUGCGCGUACGACACGUUUUCUUUGAGUCGCGUUGUUUGGGAAUGCAGCGCAAAGUAGGUGGUAAAUUCCAUCUAAAGCUAAAUAUUGGUGCGAGACCGAUAGCGAACAAGUACCGUGAGGGAAAGAUGAAAAGAACUUUGAAAAGAGAGUUAAAGAGUACCUGAAACUGCUGAAAGGGAACCGAAUCGUUUCCAGUGUCUAUAAUCUAUGGCAUAUUUCAUCGGCGUGUGAAUGCGUGCAGUGUUUUGGAAGUGGUUUUCCUCUCCUAAUAUUGUUGUGCGUUUGCCUGCUGGUGCCCUGUGCUGUGGUGGGACGUCAGAGUCAGUUCGUAUGCUGCGGGAAAUGGCAGUUGGGGAGGUAGGUCGCUUCGGUGGCUGUUAUAUCCUGGCUGUUAGUCGUCGUGGUUGGGACUGAGGUGCCUACAACGUGCUUUUGAGUCUGCGGGACUCUCGUUUAGUGAUCUGCUUGGAUAGCUUGCUAUGUUUGCGGAUUUAUUGGGCGAUUGAGAUCUGUAGUAACUUAUUGCCGUUCGGGACUUUGAACGAA